AUGAGAUAUUGUAAUAGACUGAACCUAGUAUUUGCCACAGAAUGAGGGGCAACCAGAUGCUGGUUUCUGAGUCAGUAUUGCCUGAGGUAUGUUUGACUUGGUGAUCAGGAAUGGCAAGUGCCCUCUACCCCACAGCUGAUGCUCUCUAACCUUCUGGCCAUUAAGAAUGCCUGUUUAUCUUCUUGCCUUCAUCAACAGCAGCUGUUUAUUUAGCAGCCUGACUUAAGACAUUUCGUAUAUAUACUCAAUGAAGGCUUUCUUUCCCUAUUAUUUUUCUGUGGAGGGUAAAAUACUGUCUUGUUUUUCCAGUUCUCCUCCUAAGUGUGAUGAUUUAGAUGUUCCUGCUGUUAACUGGCAGCUUUUCCAUUUCCUUCUAGCAUGGAGUGCCCCAGACUUCUCCACAGAAGCCACUAAUGAGCUUCUUGCCUUUCAAGCCCCUGAUUCACUAAUAACAGAAUUUCAGCAAUGUCUGAAGUUCGGGACCUUAUCUUUUCUUCCUUUAGAAAACAAACAAGCAAAGAAAAUAUGUUACUUGCUGAAGCCACUGACUCAAUCCUGUCUGUUUAAGGUUUUAAAACAGAGAAUUUAUUCAAGAAUCUCAGCUUCUGCUUUGCAAAUGAGUUGAAAGCUUAAGGAUUUGACCCCAACUUUCAAAAUCCAGAAUUCACCCUGCUGUUUCUCCAUGAGUCUGACCUGCAUCAACUGCCUCCCUUAUUCUGGGAUUCCAGUUGUGGAGCUCAAGGACAAGUCCAUUCUGGGCUGGCUGUAUCCAACUUCUUUAGUCCAACUAUAUCCCCACUGGAAGCCAGGCUCUUUCCAACAGCUGUCACCCAUGCCUCUUUCUAUGUUUGUUAUCUGUCUCUAGGUUCUGGUAACUACUUCCUUCCCUUGCCCCUUCUGGCCUAGGGUGCUACCAAUCCCUCCUCCAAAUCCAACUGUCACUAGCCUCAAAGUACUUGUAGCUUCCUCACCUUACUUUCACCUUAAUAAAUGGUCCCCCUACUAUCUCUCUUCAAAGCACCCAAUUUGAGUGUGCCAUCUGUUUCUUGCCAGGAUCCUGGUUGGUACAUCAACCAAGCUGCACUGAUGGAGGAGCACUGUGCUGAACUUUAGGAAUGAAGCCACAGGGCCCUCACUGCCCCCAUAGUCACCUUGGUCAUCUUCUGCCUCCCUGAAAGACUAAAUUCAGUCAGUUCAGAUACAUACACAUCCAGACAUGUCAGGGAAAACUCCAUUUUGUAAGGAUCUCUGCUUAAAAUGCCAAAAGUUUGAAAGUUGGCAAACACUUGAGAAAAGCACAGUUCUCUGUCUUACUCUUACUCUAAACUUGGAGAUAAAUGCAUUUUUAAAAUUGUGCAUGUUAGAGUGCUAACGUGUACAAGAUCAUUUCUGGUGAGACACCACAAACAAUAUUUUAUGAGGCCAAAAUAAGAAAGAAGGAAAUGAAAUAGCUCAGGAAUCUCAGGAAGAGCUCAUCGAACACUUUGCCUUUAUCUCAGACCAUUUUAUCCACAGCCCUGUUAAUCAGGAUUGGAUAUACCUCCAUGAGGGAGUCUUAAACGGAGGGAAAGAGAUGCCACAACUAAAAAAAAGAAUGCAAUAGAAGUUUGUCUUAAUGCCUGUUCUGUGAUGCACAACUUUCGUAAGCCAAAAUUUUAACCUUAUGAACAAUCAGUUCUGUGCUGCCCUUAGCAGAGAACCAUAAAUUAAAGAUAAGCAAUGGUUCAGACUUUCCAGGGCCUUGACUCAGGAGUAACUCUGAAAUCCCAACCAAAUAUGUAUUUGGUUAAGCAAUUUGGCACAUUUUUCUAUUUUGAGGCAUUAAACUAUAAUUACAAGUCACUUUUAUUUCAUUCCAAAUAAAUGUCCCUAAAGUAGAUAGAACUAGAGGUUUCCUUUUUUUAAAAAAAGGAAACAGGAAAACAACAAACAAAACCAAAAAGAACAAAAGCAAAACAAAACUUAGUCAAGCUAACAAAUUGCAUGUAUGGUGUGUUUUAUAAUUUAAUCAAUAUAAAAAAUUGAGUGUGCUAGUGCCUCAGGAGGACUCAGAGGACUCAAAUACUCAAUAGGUUAUCUGGAGGAAUUUCUCAUUGGAGAAAAAAAUUAAAGUUCUUUUGAACAACCCACAUAAUCAAGAUAGUAAUAAUUUAACCUCAAGUUUUUCCUUGAUUAAAAAAUCCCUUUGCUAUUCUGCUCCAGUGUUUGUAAUAGAUGGUUCAACAAGACUGGUGUUUUGUUAGUUGGAAAAGUAAGCUGAUAUGAGGGGUGGGGAGAGGAAGGGCAGAAAUUUAUUAACAAUCAGCAAGUAAAGAAAAACAGCCUGCAAAUUGUAAUGAAAGGAAGAAAGGACAGGAAAGGAAAGGUAGGGCUGGUGGAGAGUGACUGUUCUGCCUGCUUACUGCACAGGCCAAGAACAAACUCACGAUAAAUACUCCAGGUCCUCAAGAAAAAGGUUUCUGUGCUGAAUUAUGGUAGUCUACCUGAAAUUGGGAUGAUGAAUUAGAAAACCUCUCUCAUCGCUUCAAGUCUUGUGAUUUAUUCAUUCAGUGCCAUUUAUUGUAUAACUAUAUAAUUUCUAAAGGGGGAUAACUACAAGAAAAAGAUGUGAUUUCUUCUUUCAGAGAUCCCCAAAUAUAGAAAGCUAUUCAUAUACUGCUUAGAUAAACAAAGAUUAUCUUCUUUUUCUACAUUCUAUAUAAUGUUCCUUAAACUCAAGCUCUCUUCUCCCCAUCUCUACCUUACCCCUCUGGGUAGCAAGGAAAAAUAAAAAUAAUGUCAUUCAAUGGUU
rnacentral:lncRNA from 1 species